AGCGAACGCUGGCGGCAGGCCUAACACAUGCAAGUCGAACGAAGUCCUCGGACUUAGUGGCGGACGGGUGAGUAACACGUGGGAACGUACCUUUUGGUUCGGAACAACUCAGGGAAACUUGAGCUAAUACCGGAUGAGCCUUUAGGGGGAAAGAUUUAUCGCCGAAAGAGCGGCCCGCGUUAGAUUAGCUAGUUGGUGAGGUAAAGGCUCACCAAGGCUACGAUCUAUAGCAGGUCUGAGAGGAUGAUCAGCCACACUGGGACUGAGACACGGCCCAGACUCCUACGGGAGGCAGCAGUGGGGAAUCUUGCGCAAUGGGCGAAAGCCUGACGCAGCCAUGCCGCGUGAAUGAUGAAGGUCUUAGGAUUGUAAAAUUCUUUUACCAGGGACGAUAAUGACGGUACCUGGAGAAAAAGCCCCGGCUAACUUCGUGCCAGCCGCCGCGGUAACAC
rnacentral:rRNA from 1 species